rnacentral:rRNA from 1 species
GACGAACGCUGGCGGCGUGCUUAACACAUGCAAGUCGAACGGAAAGGCCCUGCUUUUGUGGGGUGCUCGAGUGGCGACAGGGCGAGUAACACGUCAGUAACCUGCCCUUGACUUCGGGAUAACUUUCGGAAACUGGGGCUAAUACCCGAUAGGACAUACUGCUGCAUGGUGGGGGUUGGAAAGUUUCGGCGGUUGGGGAUGGACUCGCGGCUUAUCAGCUUGUUGGUGGGGUAGUGGCUUACCAAGGCUUUGACGGGUAGCCGGCCUGAGAGGGUGACCGGCCACAUUGGGACUGAGAGACCGCCCAGACUCCGACGGGAGGCAGCAGUGGGGAAUAUUGCACAAUGGGCGGAAGCCUGAUGCAGCAACGCCGCGUGCGGGAUGACGGCCUUCGGGUUGUAAACCGCUUUCGCCUGUGACGAAGCGUGAGUGACGGUAAUGGGUAAAGAAGCACCGGCUAACUACGUG